UCCAAAUAAACUUACAGAAAUUUUCCCUUAGAGCAUUUUCAUUUCAGAAGUGUGAUGUCUCUGAAUUAAGGCCAUUUUUAUUUCUCCGUGCUGAAUGCUGUGACUUUCCCGGGUGCCCGGGGUUUCACACCAACAUCCGUUUCUUAUCUACUGAACCCAGUACUUUCGAAUGUAGGGAACCUGGAGGGCGAAUUUUACACCUGUGCACCCCCUUCUGGAAGGGCUCGGACUACAGAAAUUCCACGGAAUGCCAGCUGCUGCACGUGGAGGAAAAGGCUCGCUCCCUUGUUCAGUCUGCACUGACACCUCAAAGCCUGUACCCGUGCAUCUUCUGGAUCAGAAAUGCUCAGUCCUCCUGAUUUGCCAGUGCAAACCCUGCAGAGUGGACCCGUGAGCAAGGGCGUCCUCACACCUGCCAGCUCAGCCAUGCGUCCCUGAGCUGAAGGAAAACGGGCUCGGAGGACAAGGUUAUUUUUAGCUGUGGGUCCCAGCUAUUCCCCAGGAAACCUGUCCGCAAGAAAGCAGUGCCAGUUAUUCUAUAUUUAAUACGGAGCAUCAUCCAGGGCAUGCCUCCCCAUGCCCUUCCCUGUCCUUCAUGUCAAUAGUCUAGGAGAAGCUAAGAGACCAGACAUCACCUGCCUCGGAUUUCUCUGGAUCAUUAUGAGCUUGGCUGUCCCCUCAAAGCCUCAUGCAUUUGGAAGAUGACUAGAUCACUGCCCGUGUGGAACUCAACAGCGGCUUAGUCCAGGAGGAGUCUGUCUGCUGAGCUGCUGUAGGUCAGGAAAGGCAGGUGCCGGAGAGGUGAGCUGGAUGUGGAUACGUAUGGCUCCCGACCUGGCUCCUCCCUUCUCUCCCUAUUUCCUGGCUGCCAUGACGUUAGCAUCUUCCCUCCUGCAGGCCCUUCUGCCUUGGAGACAGCCAACCAUGGACUGAAUCUUCUAAAACCAUAAUCCAAA